rnacentral:lncRNA from 1 species
CGGAUAAAAUUAUAUCGUGGGCCGCAUCUGGCCCGCGGGCCGUAGUUUGGAGACCUGCUCUACAGACAGACAAAGAUAAUCACAGUUUGUGGAUCAGUGCAUCCUCUGUCUAUCUCAAGUAUCCAAAUGCAAACAUUGUUUCUAAUUGUUAUUGGCAGAAACUUUUUGUCAGAAGUCUACAGCAUUUUUUGAGGCUCGUCAUGAGCUCAAGAUCAUGAUAGCCUAAACAUUGUGUAGAAGAACACAGUUUAUAUCCAGAUAUCAAACACACACACCAAACAGUAAUGUCUCCCCCUUUGUCGUUCUUCUUCAAGCCGUUACCAAACUUUAUUUAAUUUUCGUGCCUUCUCCUCCACACGCUCGCGUCUCUCUUCCUCUACACUCAGCCAUCCUACAUGAGCACCUGGCGCUGUGACCCUUAUUGGUCACUGGCAGAGGGUGCUCCCUCUACGGUGACCAAUAAGGGCUAUCUGGGCUGUCUUCUGUCUCGUCGCCAUUGUCAAAGAAUUCCCAUCUUUUCAGUUGGUUGCUCAGCACUGUUACCACAUAUCUUGGAGGGUCCUCCAAGCUGGAGAUUUCAUACAGAUCAGACGAGAGCUGGCGAGAAAUCUGAAAUGGUCCCUUAUAUAGGAUACUGAGCUUGU